rnacentral:lncRNA from 1 species
UUUUUUUUUUUUUAAUUUUUAUUUAUUUAUGAUGAUCACAGAGAGAAAGAGAGGCAGAGACACAGGCAGAGGGAGAAGCAGGCUCCAUGCACCGCGAGCCCGACGUGGGACUUGAUCGGGUCUCCGGGAUCGCGCCCUGGGCCAAAGGCAGGCGCCAAACCUCUGCGCCACCCAGGGAUCCCAGUAUUUCCUUUUUCUUAAGGCUUAAUAACAUUCCACUGAAUGUAUACACCACAUUUUGUUUAUCCAUCCAUCUGUUAAUGGACAUUCUGGCUAUUUCCACAUUUUGACAAUUGUGGAUAAUGCUGCUAUGGAUAUUUGGCUACACAUAGUUGUUUGAGUACUUGUUUUCAAUUCUUUGGAGUAUAUACCUAUGAGGGGAAUUGCUCGAUCAUAUAAUAAUUCUACGUUUACCUUUUAGGGGAACUGCCAGACUGUUUUCCAAAUUGGCUGAACUACUUUAAAUUCCCACCAAUAAUCGAUGAGAAUUUCAGUUCUUCCACACCCUUGCCAACACUUGUCAUUUUCCAUGUUUUCAUUAUAGCCAUUAUAGUGGGUGUGAAGUGGUAUGUCACUGUGAAUUUUGUUUACAUUUCCUUCAUGACUAAUGAUGCGGAACACAUCAUUGUUGGCCAUGAUGGAUGUACUUGUUGGCCAUUUCUUCUCUGGUUAUAUCUUCUUUGCAGAAAUGUCUGUUCAAAUAAUUUGCCUAUUUUUAAAUUGGCUUGUUGGUCUUUUUGUUGUUGAGUUAUAAAAUCUCUUUAUAUAUUUUAGAUACUAUAUACCCCUAUGAGAUAAUGAUUUGUCUUUUUUAUCCUAUUCUGUAAGUUGUCUUCUUUUUCUUGGUAAUGUCCUUUAAUGCACAAAGGUUUUUUAAUUUUAGAAAAGUCUAGUUUACCAGCUUUUUCUUUUUUGCUAUGUCAUACCUAAGAAUCCAUGCCCAAAUCCAAGGUCAUGAAGAUUUAUCUCAAUGUUUUCCUCUAAGAAUUUUAUGGUUUUAGCUGGUACUUUAGAGAAAAUGGACCCUAGAUAAAAAUGAAGGAAAUCUGAAUAAUGUAUGAGUUUCAGUUAGUAGUUAUACAUCAUUCUUAUUUCACUAAUUGCGACAAAUGUACCAUACUAAAAUAAGAUGCUAAUAACAGGGGAAACUGGGUGUGAUGUUUGUAGAAAUUCUCUGUUCUAGCUUCAAAUUUUUUCAAAAACUCUUCUAAGAUAAAAAAGUUGUUUUAAAAAAGUAAAUUGAUAGCAUCAGAACAAUUGCAAUAUCUAGGAAUAAACCUAAUGAAAGAUGUUCAACAAAAUUACACCAAAAAUACUAAACAUUACGGAGAGAGAUAUAUCUUGUUCAUUGAUUGGUAGGCUCAGUAUUGCUAAGAUGUCAGUUCUAUCAAAUUUGUUUAUAGAUUCAAUGGUAUCUGAGUCAAAAUCCUAGCAAAUGGUUUUACAGAAAUUGAUGUGAUGAUUCUAGAAUUUAUAUAGAAACCAAAUGAUCUAUAAUAGCCAAAACAAUUUUGAAAAGGAACAAAGUUGGAAGAGUUACACUAUCUGAUUUCAAAGCUUAUUAUAAAGCUCCAGUAGUCACAAUAAUGUGGUAUUGACAGAAGUAUUGACAUAUAGAGCAGUGGAACAGAAUAAAGUCUAAAAAUCGACACACAUACCUAUGGCCAAUUGAAUUUUGGAAAGUUUCUAAAGUAAUUGAAUGGGAAAGGAAAGUUGUUUUUAAUGAUCUAGAAACAUCUGAACGUUCAUAUUAAAAAAUGAAUAUUGAUGUCUACUCAUGCCAUAAAUCAAAAUUAGUUCAAAAUAGACUUUAGGUUUAAAUGCAAACUAUAAAACUAUAGUAGUUCUAAAAUAAGACACAGGAGAAAAAUUUGCAACUUUAGGGUCAACAAAGAUCUCUUAGACUAAAUAUCCAUGAAGAAAAAGAUAAAUUGGACUUUAUCAAAAUUAAAUCUUUUUGUUCAUCAAAGGACACUGAUAGGAUAACCAAAUGGCAAGCCAUAGAAUGGAGGAUAAAAUUAUCAAUAUCUGACUCUGAUGGAACUUUUGUAUUCAAAAUAUUUAGUUCAGAGUAUAUAAAGUGCUCCUAAAUUCAAUAAUUAAAUGACAAACAAUUCAAUUAAAAAUUGGCUAAAAACUUAAAUAGAUACUUUAGAAGACAUAUAGCUAAUACACACAUUAAAAGAUACUCAUAUAAUAUUAGUCUUCAGGGGACUGCACAUUAAAGCACAGAGAAACACUACUUCACAGCAAUAGGAUAGCUAAAAUUAAAAUGACUAAUAAUACCAAGUAUUGGUGAGCAUAUGGAGUUGCAGAAACUCUCAGACAUUGCAGAGGGUUGUAUAAAAUGGUACAUCUUUUUGGGAAAGCAUUUUGGCACUUUUUAAUGAAAUUAAGCAAAUAUAUAAUCCAGUAAUUUUACUCUCAGGCAUUUUUUUCAAGAGAAAUGGAAAUAUAUGCCCACAAAAAGAAUUGGACACAAAUGUCACAACAGUUUUAUUCAUAGUAGGCAAUAACUGGAUACAACUCAAAUGCCCAUCAAAAGAUGAAUGGCUAAACACUUUGGGUGUAUUUAUAAAAUGUUAUAUAAAAAAUUCAUAUGAAAUAUAGGAAGGUAUAUUUAUAAAAUGAAAAUUUAUAAAACAGAAUACUGAGCAAUAAAGGGGGAUCAACUACUUAUACACACAGCAUAAAUUAAUCUCAAAAGCAACUGAAUGAAAGAAACGAAGCACAAAAGACAACAUACUGUGCAAUUUUUUUUUCAAGUCCUAGAAUAGGCAAAACUAAUGUAUGGCAAUAGAUUUCAGAUCAGUGUUUGCACUGGUGCGGUUCUAAGAGUUAAUUCUUUCUUGAAUACCUUGCCUUCAGCACCUUGGUCACCUUACCCUAGUACUGGCUGUGAUAAUCAUUUACAUUUGUCCUAUAAAAUAAGUCUAUUGAGAAGUGGGUGUGUGUCAGUGAUGUGGUUUGAAGAUCUCUUACUCUCUCCAACUAGUUUAUUGUUCAUAAUCCUGAGUCAUCAAAGUUUUAUAGUAAAUAACAAUGAAAAAGUUUUGAUUGGGAUUUUAUCUUAAGAAUACGACAUUAACUCAGGAAAAAGACAACAUAAUACAAAGUACAUUAUGGGGAAUAUAGUCAAUAAUAUUGUAAUAAUGUGACAGAUGGCAACUACACUUGUUGUGGCGAGCAUAGUGUAGUGUAUAGAAUUGCCUAAUCACUACCUCAUAUACCUCAAACUAUAUGAUGUUUGCCCAAAACAAAGAUAAGGUAUAUCUCUUGUAAACAAAUAAACUACAAUAUAACUUAUGAAACAAUCUUAUUUUAUGUGUAAGACAAUUUAAGCCCUAAUUCCAACUAUGACAUAGUCUUAGCAAUCAAAGCAAGAAUCAAGUGCUGUUACUUGUGUGUGCAUAUGUGUGUAAUUCUUUAAAAAUUGAGCUAUGAUGGACAGCUACAUGCAAAAGAAAAAAACUGCACCACUUUCUUAUAUCAUACACAAAAAAUAAACUCAAAAUGGAUCAAAUACCUAAAUGUAAGACCUAAAACCAUAAAAAUAAAAGAGAACAUAAGCAGUAAACUCUUGGACAUCAGCUUUCGCAAUAUUUUUCUAGACUCAUCUCCUCAGGCAAGGGAAAUAAUAGCAAAAAUAACCAAUGGAACUAUAUAACAUUAAACAGCUUUUGCAGAGCAAGGGAAAUCAUCACCAAAACAAAAAGGCCAACUUACUAAGAAGAUAUUUGUAAUCAAUAUAUUUGAUAAGAGGUUAAUAUAUAAGAUAUAUAAAGAAUUUAUACAAUUCAACAACAAUAAUAGUAGUAAUCUGAUUUAAAAACAGGCAGAUCAUCAGGGAAAUACAAAUCAAAACCACAAUGAGAUAUCACCUCACACCGGUGAGAAUGGUGAAAAUUAACAAGACAGGAAGCAACAAAUAUUGGAGAGGAUGUGGAGAAAGGGGAACCCUCUUGCACUAUUGGUAGGAAUGUGAACUGGUGCAGCCACUCUGGAAAACUGUGUGGAGGUUCCUCAAAGAGUUAAAAAUAGACCUGCCCUAUGACCCAGCAGUUGCACUGCUGGGGAUUUAUCCCAAAGAUACAGAUGCAAUGAAACGCCGGGACACCUGCACCCCGAUGUUUAUAGCAGCAAUGGCCACAAUAGCCAAACUGUGGAAGGAGCCUCGGUGUCCAUCGAAAAGAUGAAUGGAUAAAGAAGCUGUGGUCUAUGUAUACAAUGGAAUAUUACUCAGCCAUUAGAAAUGACAAAUACCCACCAUUUGCUUUGACGUGGAUGGAACUGGAGGGUAUUAUGCUGAGUGAAGUAAGUCAAUCGGAGAAGGACAAUAAUUAUAUGGUCUCAUUCAUUUGGG